rnacentral:rRNA from 1 species
AACGUAGGACGCGAACGUUAUCCGGAAUUACUGGGCGUAAAGGGCGCGCAGGCGGUAAAGUAAGUUAGGCAUGAAAGCUCCCUGGCUAAACCGGGAGAGGAUGUCUGAUACUGCUAUACUAGAGUGUGGUAGAGGGGUGUAGAAUUCCGCGUGUAGUGGUGAAAUGCGUAGAUAUGCGGAGGAAUACCAGUGGCGAAGGCGGCACCCUGGACCACAACUGACGCUGAGGCGCGAAAGCAUGGGUAGCGAACGGG